CUCGCGGCCUAUCAGCUUGUUGGUGAGGUAAUGGCUCACCAAGGCGUCGACGGGUAGCCGGCCUGAGAGGGUGACCGGCCACACUGGGACUGAGACACGGCCCAGACUCCUACGGGAGGCAGCAGUGGGGAAUAUUGCACAAUGGGCGCAAGCCUGAUGCAGCAACGCCGCGUGAGGGAUGACGGCCUUCGGGUUGUAAACCUCUUUUAGCAGGGAAGAAGCGAGAGUGACGGUACCUGCAGAAAAAGCACCGGCUAACUACGUGCCAGCAGCCGCGGUAAUACGUAGGGUGCAAGCGUUAUCCGGAAUUAUUGGGCGUAAAGAGCUCGUAGGCGGUUUGUCGCGUCUGCUGUGAAAUUCCGAGGCUCAACCUCGGGCUUGCAGUGGGUACGGGCAGACUAGAGUGCGGUAGGGGAGAUUGGAAUUCCUGGUGUAGCGGUGGAAUGCGCAGAUAUCAGGAGGAACACCGAUGGCGAAGGCAGAUCUCUGGGCCGUAACUGACGCUGAGGAGCGAAAGGGUGGGGAGCAAACAGGCUUAGAUACCCUGGUAGUCCACCCCGUAAACGUUGGGAACUAGUUGUGGGGUCCUUUCCACGGAUUCCGUGACGCAGCUAACGC
rnacentral:rRNA from 1 species